rnacentral:rRNA from 1 species
UACGAAGGGGGCUAGCGUUGUUCGGAAUUACUGGGCGUAAAGCGCGCGCAGGCGGCCAUUCAAGUCAGGGGUGAAAGCCCAGAGCUCAACUCUGGAACUGCCCUUGAAACUGUAUGGCUUGAGUAUGAGAGAGGUGAGUGGAAUUCCCAGUGUAGAGGUGAAAUUCGUAGAUAUUGGGAAGAACACCGGUGGCGAAGGCAGGUCUCUGGGCUGUAACUGACGCUGAGGAGCGAAAGCAUGGGGAGCGAACAGG